rnacentral:misc_RNA from 1 species
UGGGUGACCUGCAGACUGUCGAGAUGUUAAUGCCCAUCAAGUUCCAAAGCAAGUAGAAGCAUGGAGGGGUAAUCUUUAACAGAGAUAAAAGCAGGCUUUCCUGUACAAGAAUUUCUUUAAGUGAGUGAUGGUGGUAUUGGCACACUUUGUUGUUUCUGGUAGGAUAAGAAGGACAGGGAUGCCCAUCAAUAAUUUAGAGCUAAUGCCAAAACAUAGAAAGAGAAGUUG